AAAUUAACAGCUUUUUAUUCACUCCCAAAAUUACAUAUAGUAACAUUAAUCCUCUGCAGUACUAGUACAAUUCUACAACUCCUUGCUCACCCAAACUAGAUAUAUAUUUGGGAUCCAUGGUUGUUCAGACUUUACAUGAAGAUCUUAUCACAUAUACUUCAUAUAUAUAAAACACCUUCAACAAUGCCUAUGUGACUUUUACACAAAUUACACAAUAAAGGCAUCUACUCUGGCCAGAUUUUACAUUCAUUUUGCUCAAUAAAAACAAUCUGUGGUAUUCCAGUAUUGUGGGUUAUCAAUCUAUCAUCAAAUUAUGAUGGAAAUAAGCUACAAGUGGUUGUUGUUAUAACAGAACUCAGUCUAAUACUUUCUCUCCUUUUAAUACUAUUUAAAUACAUAUAAUUUAUUUCAUUUGUAAUUUCACUACAAAUUUCAUAUACAAAGCAAAAAGGCAAACACCAAAAGUUGACCUUGACCUCAGAAUGCUGAAAAUAGCACCACCCCUACAAAAGCAUGGCUCAUAGACAGAUCUUGGAAUUUAUCAUAUUCAACUCCAGAAUUGAGAUGAGUAGAUUUAUACACUCAAAACUAUUAAAAAUAUAAAGCUGGGAGGAAGAGAGGAACAUUGCAAGUCAGGAGCAAUUAUUCAUCACAACUUUAGUUCUUAAAAUCCAGAUCCCAAACUAGGUAUCAGAAAAUGUGUCUUACCUUUGUCUCCAGUAGGAUGAGCUGAACAGCAAGUUGGGUUAUUCAAUCAGAAGUUAUGAAAGUACUUGCUUAAAGAGAUUUAAGUGCUUUCGUGGUUAGAAAAACUAAUCAUAGGUUUCCCUACAAUAUCCUAAGGGAACAGAGGGGGGCGGGGAGUAGAAAUCAAAGUAUUUGUAGUUCCAAAGUGGUAUCAACUGUCAGUAUGGGUACAGCCCUAUUUCCUAAGCUUUAAAACCUACGCUGUGCUCACUAGUGUUCAAACAUAAGCCUACAGUGAGGCAAAGAACACUUUGCUCAUUUCAAUCUACAACUGAACUACUAUAAACAGGCCAUUCUUGGUCCCGUUUCCAAAGCAUUCAAAGUAAACCCACAUUUGCAUUUAUCUAGCUGGCUUUAACCUUUUAAUACUACUUUAGUAAGCUGGGCAUGGUGCUUCAUGGCUAAUCCCAGAAUCUGGGAGACUGGAUUUACUUUGGAGUUUUGGGCCCAGUCUAGACCAGAGUAGAGUGAGGUUCUCUGGAGGAAAACAAUGUAUUUUAAAACACCAUAAAUUUCCAAUUAUACCAUGUUUAACUAUGCUAAUUCCUCAUCCUUUUAGUUGUACUUUGAGUUCUGUAACACAGCUACCUAACCUUAAUGCAUCUACUAAACACAUCUCCUGAAGUGAAAUCCUAGUUUUGAACUUAAAAGAAUUAGUUUCUCUUUCAGGACAGUGUAUGCGGUCAUUAAAAUGAGCAGGCUGAGAUCUCAUGCAAAUUUCUUGAAACCUGUUUCUUUCACUAGCAAAAAUUUCUGGUCUCCCCUAUAUUCUACAUUACAUCUGAACAAUAUCAUAUUUAGCCUGCAACUCAAGGAAAGUUAAAGAUCUAGCUAUUUCUACUGUGGUGAAUAGUGGUCUAUUCAUUCUAGCCAGGAGGAAAUCACAAGCUUGGGAUUUUAAAUAAAAGUUCCAUUCUCCAAACCAAUUAAGAUGAAGAUUAAGCUUCAAGGGGUUAUCAGUAGAGAUACAACAGUAGACUAGACUAAGAUAUAUAUAUAAUUGCUGACUCAAUACAGAACAGUUUGGCGACAGAACACUCUAUGGCUGAAAAGAUUUAUAAUGUAUUUAUUAACCCAAUAAGCAUUUGACAGCACACUAUCCAAAAUUUAAAAAAAAAAAAACUGUGUAGUCUAUUUUGUCUCCUAAUGUUAAUACUGAAUUUGAGUUCCACUGAGAAUCUCAAAGCUAAAAUUGAUUAGCUAUCAAACUUUGUACAAAAGCCUAUUUUGUCUAAAGCAUUACCAAAAUAAACAGCAACUGUAAGUUCUUUAGCAAAAUAUGAAAGAUUACUUUCCAGAUCAUUACCCUCUACACAACUGUUACGUAUGUAACUGCCUUACACUCAGUUUAUUAUGCUCUUAAGACUUCCACAACAGAGACAGUCAUCAUUUAUUAGAAUCUUUAAUUUACUAACACAUAAACAGAAUCAGAAUCUUAUCAAAUUAAAUAACUGAUACACUAGUUACCCAAUCAAAAUUUUACAAGAGGAAAAAGGACAACCAUGCAUCGUUUUUUAAAAAAUGUUUAUUUUUUUCAAAGAAAAACGGCAAUAGCCAAUUGGAAACCUACUUAUUCUUCAACUCCAAUUUUGUUUUCUUUAAAUUUAGAAGUGACUUACUGAUUUACUAUUUUAAACAAACCCCCCCUUUUCCCCUUUAAAUGUUUACCAUCUACUCGUGCUGAAUCCUUCCAAGGAGAUUGCUCCAGCGUAUAUCUCCAGGUCCUCGCUUUGCUCCUUUUACCAAAAAAUGCAAAACACAAUUCCAUCGUGCAUCUUAAGGGCUCCAAUCGUCAAAAAUAGGAAAAAAAUUCUUUGGAAUAGCCAAUUAAGUUGAAUGAAAAAAAAAUCCACACGAAUGCGGUUUGGUUGGGGCAGGAAGGAAUCCACUCCUAUGUUCCUGGUAAUCUGAUCCCGCUCCAUGAAUCCUGGUAAUUCAUCCUCCCUAUCCUAUCCACAUUAUGAUUUGAAUCCAAUGAUCCAGCUCCAAGGAUUGGGAUCCAGUGAGCCCUCUCCAAUCCAAACCUUUAUAACCAGCAAAACCAAAAAAGAGGAGGCAAAAUGUUAGACACUGUAACCAAAAAAAGUUUCUGGGGAAUGAUGAGUUAUGUCUGUCAUCAGUUUACAGAUGCACAUCAAUAACUAUCAAAUUCCCCAAAACAAGUUUCUGUAUGGUGUUCAGAUAAAUUUUAGAAACUUAAUAACUAUAGAGACUAACUGGAAGAAGCACUUUAUAUUUACAGUUCAACUGAUAAUGCCAACACUUGUUACUGUACAGGUAUCACAGGUUUUGUGGUUGCAAAGUUAUAUAAUUGAAGUUUACUGGUAUUACUACCCACCUAAACCUAAACUAUUGCUCCCAUCUGCAAUUUAGCUUGUAAAUUAAAGUGUUUUAAACAUGAGUCAAUUAUGAAUAUUAAAAGGGAAGGUGAGACUUAAAGUACUCCCAACUAGAUUAUCUACACUAAUACGUUGGAAUUCUAUUAUUUUGCUGUCAUUUUGUCUUUAAAAAAUGAAAUAACAAUGCUCUAUCAGUCACACAGAGGACAUGCAGAUUUAGCAGUAUUGAUAUUAUACUCUGUUUGGAAAUUGACACCCUGUACCCACAUGUACACCAACAGCAGGCCACACAUUAACAGUUGUAACUAAGCACUGUGACAAAUUAGCCAUUCUUCCCACAUUAGUCCCUAUUAAAACAAAAAGGGGGGAAGGGAGCAAAUAAUUGUUACAAAAUGGGCAAUUCUACCACAAUUGCCAAGGUUUUAAAAAGCAAAGCAAUUGUAGCUGAAGAUAACUGCAUUAAGUGUUUGCAAAUCUUUUAAGGUAGAUAAAUUUUUAACCCUCGCCUUCUAGUAUAAGGUCAAUACUGCCAAUUUCAUCUGUGACAAUAGCACUUGGAGUCAUACCAUUGCCUCCAUUAUUGAUCUGAUCCUCCUCAAUCCUCCUUUUGACAAUCCUAAAAUGAUUGAAAUGUGCUCCACAAUCCUUAAUCCAAAGCAUUCUUAAUCCAUCUCUUCAGAUAUGUCUACAGAAAGACACAUGAAAAGCAAGAUAAACAUAAGAACUUCCCCCAAGUAAGAUAACCACAAACACCCCCAACAUCCCAUUUCACACAAACCAGAGCAGAAUAGACAUUUACAUAAUAUCACAGUCUGAAGAGCAUGGAAAUUAACUAAAUUUAAACAAUCCUGUCUAUGACAUCACUUAAAAUACAAGUUACCAAAGACAUGAGGGGAAUGUAGAUGUUAGGAGCAAGGGGAUAUUACACAAGAAUGCAAUUCAACACUUUAGCCCAUUCUGAACAAAACAGCUUGAAUUAAAAAAAUGAAAAGAUUGUACUGAGUAAAGGAAAACUGUAUACAACAUGGGUUCUACAAAAAGUGUCACCAAUCAUCUUAUGUACGAGAGCGAGAUCUGCUAUGACGGGGAGAAUAGCGUGGUGAUCCUCUGCUUCUCCUUGGGGAGUAACUGCGACUCCUGCUGUUGCUUCUGCUACGGCUUCUGCUACGACUACGGCUUCGAGAUCGAGAUCUUCCAUAACUUGGACUUCUGGGCCCAUCAACUUUAACCCGGAUGUAGGCAGUUUCUCCCUAUUGGAUAGACAGAACUUUCCAUUGAAAGAUCUAAGCUUUCACCUGUCUUCAGACAAGCUGAACGAAUACAAAGACAGAUCAGGGCUCUGGUAAUUUACGUGAACACCCUUGCCUGUAUCCUUACCUUCAAAUUCCACUGUUAAGAAAACUGUAUCCAAUUCUGGCCAAAAAAAAGAAUAAGUGUAUAACCUACCUCGUGAGAUCUAAACUUAGUGUUAUCCAGUUUUCGAACUGCAUACGUCAUAUCUUCUUUCCGUACAAACUCCACGACACCAGUGCCAUCUCGGUAAACAUCAGCGUAACAUACAUCACCUGCCUCACGCAUGUGAUCCUUUAAGUCCUGCCAGCUUCCACUCGGAGGCAGUCCUGAAAAAGCGAUUCCCCCUAAUUUAAUACUACUCAUCCUGUCCCACGGCAAACGUGUAAAGUACAUUCGAACAAGGAUUAUUUUAAAAUACUUAAUGAUUGUACUUAAGUGUUUCCAGGUAAAGAGCUGGUAAGAGUCAGAUCCAGAGUCCAAAUUUAUUUGUAAAGGAUCUUCAUAGGCUAGUACUGCAACCUAAUUUGGGUAAAUCACCACCACAGUAAUCUUUAUUUACUAAAUUCAUCCCAAAGACCGAAGUAGUCCAAGACCCCGUGUGUAAAACAAAACAAAAACAACAAUAACAAAAACCUUGCAGUACUCAAAGCAGUCAUGCGGGAAAAAGAUUUUAACCCGCACGAAGUCAACUCACCAGAGACAACCACUCUGUUCUCGGACCGCCUGGACGGCGGGCCAUAGCGGCCUCUCGGGGCGCCGCCGCCUCCACCCCCGCCGCCGCCUCGGCCGGUCCCGCGGCCGCUUCGGGGAAACUCUACCCGCAGCCGGUAGCCGUCGUAGUCGUAGCCGUCGCGACCGUACACCGCAUCUUCCGCGUCUCUGCGUGUGAUCACAGAAAGCGAAAGGGGGGGGUGAUGAGGGGAGGGAGCCGCCGGACCCAGCUCGUUCGCCCGCUCCGGGGGUGAAAAGCCGCGGCCACAGCGCACAUGCGCACCCACGGGGCCACACGGAGCCCCACAUGCGCCGCAUAAUAGGGCCGGCCCUUCCCCCACCCAGCACCACGCCGGGCAGAGGCUCCCGACCACCUCGCCGGCCCUCAGCGCCUCGGUUUCCCGCUCCGGGGGCUGCGCAUGGGCUCGGGGGGUAGGGGGGACGUCCGAGGCGGCCGGCCACCGGAGACAACGCGCCGCCUCUCGGCUCUCCUGACUCGACUCCUGCAGGGGCGAUAGCGCCUCGGAGCCCCUCCUCUCCCCCCAUUAUGUUCCAAGGCCUCCGAGCCUUCCCCAACUCCUCCACGCUAUCUCCUCAAGGCCGCGCACGCCCCACGCUGCCUCACCGCGGGUCCUCGAACUCAACGAAGGCGAAGGGCGGUCCCCCGCGGCGGUUCUUCAGGUCGAUGUCGCGGAUGGCGCCGUAUUUGUAAAACACGUCCUCGAUGUCCUUGGUUCGGAUAUCCGGAGGCUGUGCAGCGGUCAAAAGGAAUUGCAUACAGACUCUUCAUUUUCUCUUUUGUCACUAUGUACUGCGCCCGUGCUUCCUGCUG
rnacentral:lncRNA from 1 species